CCUACGGGUGGCAGCAGUGAGGAAUAUUGGUCAAUGGACGAGAGUCUGAACCAGCCAAGCAGCGUGAAGGAUGACGGCUCUAUGGGUUGUAAACUUCUUUUAUAAAGGAAUAAAACGAGGCACGUGUGCCUUUUUGCACGUACUUUAUGAAUAAGGAUCGGCUAACUCCGUGCCAGCAGCCGCGGUAAUACGGAGGAUCCGAGCGUUAUCCGGAUUUAUUGGGUUUAAAGGGAGCGUAGGUGGGUUGUUAAGUCAGUUGUGAAAGUUUGCGGCUCAACCGUAAAAUUGCAAUUGAUACUGGCAGUCUAGAGUACAGUUGAGGUAGGCGGAAUUCGUGGUGUAGCGGUGAAAUGCUUAGAGAUCACGAAGAACACCGAUGGCGAAGGCAGCUUACUAAACUGUAACUGACAUUGAUGCUCGAAAGUGUGGGUAGCAAACAGGAUUAGAUACCCCUGUAGUC
rnacentral:rRNA from 1 species